rnacentral:rRNA from 1 species
CCCUUAGAUGUUCUGGGCAGCACGCGCGCUACAAUGGUCUUCGCAAACGGAUGCAUUCUCGAAGGAGGAUGCCAAUCUUGGAAUCUAUGCCUUGGUCGGGACAGUUGCUUGCAAUUUUUCGACUCGAACCAGGAAUUCCUUGUAAUCGUGAUUCAUCACAUCACGAUGAAUACGUCCCUGCCCUUUGUACACACCGCCCGUCGCUCCUACCGAUCGAAGAGUUAGGUGAAUUGUUUUGAUCGAUAAGAUUUGACUAUGGUCAACUCUCGUUGUGAAAUUCUGUGAAUCUGACUGUUUAGAGGAAGGAGAAGUCGUAACA